GGUUUUGGCAAUUUUUUCCUUUUAAAAGUUUUUGGAGAAAACGGACUUGAAGUCGAUUUUUCUGAUCUAGACAUCGAAGUGCCUGAAGUUGCACCUAUCGAUGCUGAAAAUGAAGGUGAAGUACAAAUACAUGGUUCUGUUCGUCGUUUUAGACGUAUGGCUGGUGAACGUUAUUUUAGGAUUCCGGAUCCUGUUUCACGGAUGGCUAGACUUCAUGAAGGUUUAAAAGAUAUCACUGUUAGGCUUAUGCAUCUCGAUCCACCUAAGCAAUUUACCAACGGUACAAGACGGGAAAAAAAAACAGGAGGAGGUUGGCGAUACGC